rnacentral:rRNA from 1 species
UACGAAGGGGGCUAGCGUUGCUCGGAAUUACUGGGCGUAAAGGGCGCGUAGGCGGCACUGUUAGUCAGGCGUGAAAGUCCUGGGCUCAACCUGGGAACUGCGCUUGAUACGGCAGAGCUAGAGGAUGGAAGAGGGUCGCGGAAUUCCCAGUGUAGAGGUGAAAUUCGUAGAUAUUGGGAAGAACACCGGUGGCGAAGGCGGCGACCUGGUCCAUUACUGACGCUCAUGCACGAAAGCGUGGGGAGCAAACAGG